rnacentral:rRNA from 1 species
AUUGAACGCUGGCGGCAGGCCUAACACAUGCAAGUCGAGCGGAGCGGCGGACGGGGGAGUAAUACCUAGGAAGCAGCCUGGGAGUGGGGGAUAACGCUCGGAAAGGGACGCUAAUACCGCAUACGUUCAGAUGGGCCUAGGUGGGAUUAGCUAGUUGGUGGGGUAAUGGCUCACCUAGGCUACGAUCCGUACCUGGUCUGAGAGGAGGAUCCGUCACACUGGAACUGAGACACGGUCCAGACUCCUACGGGAGGCAGCAGUGGGGAAUAUUGGGCAAUGGGCGAAAGUCUGAUCGAGCCAUGCCGCGUGUGUGAAGAAGGUCUUCGGAUUGUAAAGCACUGUUAGUUGGGAGGCGUUACCGAAAGAAUAAGCACCGGCUAACUCUGUGCCAGCCGCCGCGGUAAUAC